rfam:Parcubacteria (Azambacteria) bacterium GW2011_GWB1_42_17 TV07_C0005, whole genome shotgun sequence.
GGGCGAGUGGUGGAAUGGUAGACACGAAGGACUUAAAAUCCUUUGAGGGUAAUACCUCGUGCGAGUUCGACUCUCGCCUCGCCCA